rnacentral:rRNA from 1 species
AGAGUUUGAUCAUGGCUCAGGAUGAACGCUGGCGGCAUGCCUAAGACAUGCAAGUCGAACGAGGGGACCCAAGGAUGAUUAUGGAAAGUUGGAGUGCUUGCACAAAGACCGGAAAUAGUUUGAUAUGGAUUUUCCCCUAGUGGCAAACGGGUGAGUAACACGUGGGUUACCUGCCUCUAAGUUGGGGAUAACAGUUGGAAACGAUUGCUAAUACCGAAUGUGCUCUACGGAGUAAAGGAGCUUUCAAGCUUCGCUUAGAGAUGGGCCUGCGGUGUAUUAGCUAGUUGGUGAGGUAAUGGCCCACCAAGGCUGCGAUACAUAGCCGAACUGAGAGGUUAAUCGGCCACAUUGGGACUGAGACACGGCCCAAACUCCUACGGGAGACAGCAGUUAGGAAUAUUCGUCAAUGGGGGAAACCCUGAACGAGCGAUGCCGCGUGAGUGAUGACAGCCCUCUGGGUUGUAAAACUCUGUUGUUUGGGAAGAACAGAGAGAAUAGGAAAUGAUUCUCUUUUGACGGUACCAUUCAAGAAAGCUCCGGCUAACUACGUGCCAGCAGCCGCGGUGAUACGUAGGGAGCGAGCGUUAUCCGAAUUUAUUGGGCGUAAAGCGUGCGCAGCUGGCUUAUUAAGUAUGAAAUUAAAGCCCGGAGCUUAACUCCGGUUCGUUUCAUAAACUGGUAGGCUUGAGUGUGGUAGAGGUAAGUGGAAUUUCUAGUGUAGCGGUAAAAUGCGUAGAUAUUAGAAGGAACAUCAGUGGCGAAGGCGACUUACUGGGCCAUCACUGACAGUCAUGCACGAAAGCGUGGGGAGCAAAUAGGAUUAGAUACCCUAGUAGUCCACGCCGUAAACGAUGAGCACUAAGUGUCGGGAUUCCCGGUGCUGAAGUUAACACAUUAAGUGCUCCGCCUGAGUAGUACGGUCGCAAGACUGAAACUUAAAGGAAUUGACGGGCACCCGCACAAGCGGUGGAGCAUGCCGUUUAAUUCGACGCUACGCGAAGAACCUUACCUAGACUUGACAUCCCCGGCAAAGCUAUAGAAAUAUAGUGGAGGUUAUCCGGGUGACAGGUGAUGCAUGGUUGUCGUCAGCUCGUGUCGUGAGAUGUUUGGUUAAGUCCAAUAACGAGCGCAACCCUCGUCUUUAGUUGCUAACAUUAAGUUGAGAACUCUAAAGAUACUGCCAGAGCAAUCUGGAGGAAGGUGGGGAUGAUGUCAAAUCAUCAUGUCCCUUACGUCUAGGGCUACAGGCGUGCUACAAUGGCCGAUACAACGAGUCGCAACACAGUGAUGUGAAGCUAAUCUCUUAAAUUCGGUCUCAGUUCGGAUUGAAGUCUGCAACUCGACUUCAUGAAGCUGGAAUCGCUAGUAAUCCCAAAUCAGCAAUGUUGGGGUGAAUACGUUCCCGGGUGUUGUACACACCGCCCGUCAUGCCAUGGGAGUCUGUAAUACUUGAAGAUGGUAGCCUAACCUUUUAGGAGGGGGCCAUUUAGGGUAGGACAGGUGACUGGGGUAAAGUCGUAACAAGGUA